rnacentral:lncRNA from 1 species
UAUAAUUUAUACUUAGGAAAAAAUAAGAUCGUGCCCAAAUAUUAACUAGUUUAUGCUUAUCCCACCCGAUUCCUUAUUAAUAUGCCACAUCUCCCCACUUUCCUACUUGAACUGAUCUCAGGAGCCUCAAGUUAUGAAACUUGGUUCAUCUGUCAAAUGGGGAUAAUAAAAGUAUUCACAGUUUGUGGUGAAGAUCAAAUGAGAUAAGUUAUAUAAAGCCUGGAAUAUAAUAAUUGUUCUGCAAAGGGCAACUAUUAGUACUACUGAAUGAAUCACAGAAAGUGGAAAUACUGAUUUAGUUGAGUGAGAUGGCAAGAUUAGUGGGUCCAUUUCCCUACAAAUAAACACAGACAAUAACACACAAACACAUUUUCAGCAUAGUUUCAUUUGGUGACAACUUUUAGUCCAACAGGCCUUGUUAACUUCUUUACAAAAGUUCCUCAAGAGUUCAAAGGUUCAUUGAAAAUGCAUACCAUUCAGUAUUUUAUGUUCUAUAAAUCUAAUUUUAAAAUAAUAAUUAAAACUAAAUAUGAGUUGCAUAAUUGUUAUUGAAAAUUGAUGCCAUAAAAAUAACCAGUUCUGGUCAUCUGAGUCCUAGGGAUGUCAGAGUCUCAGAAGAGAGAGCACGGGAGGAAGGAAGGGUUAGGUUGGUCUUGAAAUUGAAUGAUAAAUUACAAAAUUUGCACAUCUCCUAAAUCCUGAAAACAGAAGUAAUGAAACUUGGUGUCUGUCUUUUGUAAAUAUUAAAAUGCAUUAAUUAUCUGUGGAACAUUUUGUUCUGGAUUUUGAUUUCAAGAUACCAUUGCUCUCAUUUUGAAAUAGCGUUCCCAUCAGAUAUUUGUAUUGCUAGAUCACAAGUAUUCCUCAGGAAUAUGAUCGGUCUCUUUUAAAUAUUCAGGCCUUUUUAUUCCUUUACAGAGCAAAGAUUUACUAAGUAUCUGUAUAUUCCAGAUACUGUGCUCAGUUCUUUCACAUGCUAGAUUAUUUAUAUUGUUUUCUUACAACAUAGAUAGUUAUUGCCAUUUUAUAGUUGAGGAAAUUGGGGCCAAGAGAGGGGUUAUGCUUUACAUAAAAUCACACAGCUAUUAAGUAAAAUUUCUAGAGAAAUAGGACUGAGCUAUUUAUCCUUAAGGAACCCUUUCCUUUAGUUUCAAAAAUAUCUAUUAAAAAAUGAGGAUGAUGCCUCAGUCUCAAAAAGACCAUGAAAACACAGGCUAUAGUGGCAGAUGGAUGCCUUUACCAACUGUAAGAGAAAUGGGAAUGAUGCUGCCAGCCCCCGGUGAACUGAGAUCAGUGAAUUCACCCAGCAUCUGAUCCCAGGAAGACGACCUCAGGGGGUACUAUAUUGCUUCUUCAAGAAGACUUCUGAAAUUUGUCCCAAUGUCUAAGGAAUUAAAAUGUGCUUUAAAGAAAGGGUAAAAUUGAAGCAUUUUACUUCCUAUUUUGCUUCUGUCUAUUUGCUCAGGAAUUUUCCAUAGAGGCUUGAACAAAUAAUUUACUACAGGGUUUAUAUAUUCAUGCAAAUAACAUUAUUUCUCUAGAAGACUACACUCUUUGUUCUUUCAGAUGCUGGAAUAUUUCUGUUUCCUCUUGCAGUUGGUUUAAAAGGAUUUCGAUGCAAAUACAUGGCAGCAAAUAUUCUGUAGUCUUCCCAAGCUCUUCCUUAUAUACUGAGUAAGAAAAAAACUGUGCUCCUGAACUUGGGUUCCCUGUUGCUUCCAGCAGGUAUAGGAUUUGACACUGCCAGAGACAAAACAGCUGUGCAGCAUGAGUUCCUGCCGGAGAGAUAUACAGUCUGCCUUCGGCCAAAGUGCUUUGAAUUCACCGUGUGCUUUAUGACCAGCUUUUCUGAUUCUACUAUUGUAUAAACCAGAACACGUAACUGCCUUCCUGUAUGCCUCAGUGUCCUCAACAAAAGAGAAAGAAAGCCAGAAGAAAAGAAAGAGAGAGAGAGAGAGAGAGAGAGAACAAGAAUGAGGUAGAUAUCAUUUCUUCCAUCAAUUUGCAUUGCUGUCAUCACAAUGAAAAUGUGCUGGUCUUUCAUUUACAUUUUUGUUGAGUGUCUUAUUCAAUGAAAAGACUUUCAAAUAUGUGUAAACUAGAGUUUCUCACAAAAGGUGUUAAAAUGUAGAUUUUCAUAGACAUGAAAUAAGAAAAGCUUUCUAGCUUCAUUAAUAGAUGUAACUAUAAUUGCACAUUGCCAUUGGAAUAAGAGGCAAAGUUAGCAUCAUUCUGACAAGACCAAGGAUCUGAACAAAUCCAUAAAGAGAGACUAAUGUGACCUAGCCACAAACCAGACAUCUAACUCAGCUGGUCAGUUAGUCUACUGGUGUGUGCUGCCUUGAUAAAUGUUUCCCAUCCCAGUGUCUCUCAAAUCUGGAUUAGAUGCACUGCUACAUACUCACAUAGCAUCCUCUAUUUUCACUCCUAGAAUAAAAUUAUACAAUUGUAUUGCAAAACCCUACUUAUUUGUUUUCUUUCUCCAGUAAAUAUCAAGAAUUAUCUUCAUUCAUCAAUGUAUCUCUGAUGCAAUACCUACCAUGUAGCAGAGCUCAAAACAUUCUUGUUAAAGAGAAAAAUAAGUGUCUAACUUUUCACGAAAACAACUGAGCAGAUGGUUUGCUAUAACCCUUUUCCAUGCAGGAAAGGAUUUAAAGUGCUUGACUGACUAACAGUGGCUCAGUAAUAUCAUCUUUAAGUCUAAAAUAACAUACAUCACCAAUCAGGAGUGCUUAAAUCACAUCCUACCAAACACUGUCAUCAACGAUAAAUUUUUUUAAGGUCAUUUCUUUAUUGAACUAUAUCUAGUUUGCUGAAGAAAAAAAAACAAUAUUGGAGGGAAAACAGAUAGAAGGCAAGCUUUCUUUUUUCUUUUAUAAUUAACCAUGAAGAGACGCAUUUGUUUGCCCAAGCAUUCUAAAUAUUGCCUACAUGGUUUUUGGAAUAUUUUAUUUUUCCUUUGAAAUCAUUUUUAAAAAGAAAAGCAUUGCUUCUGAGAGUUACGAAAUCUCAAAGGCAGUUACAAAUUCAUUUAUCACUUUAGUGCAGGAAGAUAAACAAGGGUAUAGAGCAAAGACACUCCAUUAUGCUGUAGCAGAGCUACAUUUUAGCUUUGGCUUUGACUUUACUUGAGGAUCCUGUGCUAAUAGAAACAUUGAUCUUAUUUCCAACAUUGCUUUCCAGCAUUCUCCUAAGAUGCAAAUGCCUCUUCAGCUUUUGUAUUUGUCUCUAGGCAUGGAGAAUUAAAUCCACCUUGUGGUUAUGCAUAAACAUCACUGCCUAUUGGAUGCUUUUCUUGAUCACCAUGCUGAUCACACUUCACAGCAGACAGCCAAUCAUAGCCCUCCUCAAAGUGUGCUGUAAUUGUUUAUAUGUUUGAAUAAGUGGACUGUAAUAUGUGUGAGGUUUCCUUCAACUCACAUAGAAUUUUCAUAAACUUGCCUGGAUAGAAUCAGCUCACAAGAAAAUGAAUUAGAGUCUUAAAAGCAGGAAAUAAAUCCAAUAGCCUAAAGUAGUUUCUACAUAUUUCUUCUGCCCUUUCAAAGAGAACUUAAAAGAAUUCAAUCUAUCUUUUUUAUAUUAGGUCAAUCUAAUCUCUUUUAAUUGAAUUCAAGAUAAUUCAACCUAACUCUCUCCAUUUACUAUUAUACUUCUGUUAGACAAUUUUCCUCAUGUACUUAUUUGUUCCUUUAACACAUUCUACUUACAGUCUUCCUUUAACCCACUUAAAAAAGAUACUAAUACAAAUAUACUACAGCCAGACUAUCAAGAAGCUUGAAGCACAGUGGAGAGGACAUGCACAAAAACUGCAGUACAAACAGCCUGUACAAGUAGACACUUAGACACAGGGUGUUCCACAAACCUGGAGGAAAGCACAGAAAUCUUGCAGAUUGUGGGUUGGCUAGUUAUGCUUGCCAGGGAAAUCUUCCAAGAGGAGCUAAUGCUUGAGCUGUAUCUAAAGGCUGAGUAGGGAUUUUCUGUCUGGAUAAGGUAGGAAGGGGAAUACAGACAAAGAGUAUCACAUAGGAGGUCUUGGAGAGCAGAGUAUGCUUUGAAAACAGGUGAAGUAUGUGUCAGGAAAAGUUUGGAAGUUACUUAACGUGUAACUGGGGACAAAAGCAUGAAGGGCCUUGUAUCCCUGCUGGGUAGUUUUGAACUUGAUCUUAUGGGGAAUCGAUGGUCAAUGCAAUAUUUAAGCACAACUGGGACAUAUUCAAUUUGCAUCUUAGAAUGAUCACUUUAACAUAAACAUAUAGCAAUGUUUUGCAAAGAAAAUUUCUAGGGAACUUUGUAUAUUAAAAGUCAUGACUUAAAAUUAUUUCUGGUCAAAUAAACUUUGGAAAUGAUAGGUUAAGCAUACUUAACAAUUUUUAAGACUUCUCAAAAAUCUUUAACUUCCCUAUCUUUGUUUUGUUUCUCCAAGAAAAAGAACAUGUAACUUUUCCCAAGCCCAUUUCAUGAAGAAAUCUUUGGAUUUUUCUCUCACCAAAUAUCUCAUGGGAUUAAGGUUCCAAGUAGACACCUUGGAAAAUGCAGGUGUAUAGGAUAAAUUGGGGAGUUUCAAUGAAGUCAAUGAGAUCACUUACAAGAAUAUUAUAUGAGUUCUAUCAGGAGAUUAACAGUAGUAAGAGAUUAGCAGUGGUAAGGGCAUGGAAAAGACAAACCAAAUGAAGUUCGGUUAUAGGAAUGGCAAGAAAGGCCACAAUGGUCCCAGGCUUGGUUUGGUGAAUCACUUUGAUCCCUGAGGUACUAACUUCUUAGAGUCUCAGAACUUAACCUGCUGGAACUUUGUUAGAAGGGGCUACUUUAAUCCUAACUAUAACAUCUCCCUUCUUUUUAACAUAAGGAAAUCGAGUUCCCAAUAUGACUGAUCAGGAUCAAGAAUCAUCAGCUCUCCACGCUUUUCAUAUUUUCCCUGGAGAAGAGCCAGGAUGUGAAUAUUUAUAAACACUGAAUAAUCACCAAACAAGGUAUGUUUGUCUUUGGAUUAUAUUUCUUUGCUGGUAUUUGAAUAGAGCUCCAUGUGACAUUUAGGGAAUUGAUGAUGCUCUAAUAAAACUAAUGAAGUCCACUGUCAAGACUUGCUCUGAAGGAGCUGGAAAGCUGCCUAGCAUUUUUAUCCUGUCCAGCUGAGUUCCUUCUCACUUCCUGCUCUGCGUUGGGGAGAGAGAGUAGCACCUUCCAGGCAAGGCUGCCUGAGUUCGCACUGGGCACAAUGCUUUUUCUCAGUUCAGUCUAUGAGGCACAUAACAUAUUUUGGGAAGGGGAUCAAGGGAUAAUUAUGUAUUUUGGCUUUAGUAGAAUUGUACCAUGGCUAUGCAAUUAUUCCUUCAAGUGGCCACUUUUAGGAAUAUUGGGUGCUAAAUGAUUGCAUAUUAUUAUAGUUUCUAUUGUAAAUAUGUAUAUGAAAGGGCAUUUAAAAUCCAGUAGCAAACCACUAGUAAAUUUCUGUGAUUUUAGUUGAAAUGAUACACAAUCUUUCUUUUUGAGCACAGUGGACACAGAAGGAAUAUUUUUCGGUGCUCUUCUUCCUGCUCCAAAGAGCCGCAUCAACAGACCCAUGUCAGUGCUCUUACUCACUGGCCGAAUGGGACUUUGAUCCUGCCACAGUUAAGAUCAAAGGGUUGAGAUGCCUUUGAAACGACUCUCCAGUCAUAAAUUCCACAUUUGAAAUAUCUUGAUGUCAUAGUCUCCCGGCUGUUCUCUCUGCUCUGUGUUUUCUGGUAGCUUUCAAUUUCCUCUGACAAAAAUAUUAUUUUGCAUAGUGUAUCCCGGGCAUUUUCAUUCAUUGGUGGCAGUUUCUGAAGGGUGUUAAUUGGAAUACAAGCCACUUUCCUUGGCUGUUAAAAAUUACUCAAAGUCAAAGACAAUCAACUUACUCUAUUCUCAUGCAUUUUCCAUUCUGGUAAAAAUGUUUAUGACUUGCUUUUACUCAAGAUUAAUAAGAAGGCAAGGGAACUAUCAUUGAGACACACCCGAUUCACUUAAGGAUCUGCAAUCUUCAUACUAAAGGACUUAAUUUGGUUUCUCAUUGGGAAGGAAGAAAGGGAGGGAGGGAGAAAAGAAAGGACUGUCUGUAAAUAUUGAGAAAGGAAGUAUAAGAACUAAGAAGCAAAAACAUUCUAGGAAACAGCCCUUGUACACUAGGAAAAACAUUUCACAUUGUUAUUCCAUAAACCUUGAAUCACUUAUUUUUAGUCAAUACAUUAUUAAAAUGAAUAUCUUCCCUACUUAGAAAAAAUGCUUUUUUAAAAAAACUACCAAUUUUUUAUCAAGAAAGGUAAAAUCUUUAAUUAUUUUGAAAUGUUUUACUUCAUUUUCUGGAUGAUCAUGGCUAUACCUAAAAAAGAAACUGAAGCAAAUAGGUGAAUAUUUUCAAAAUUUAGCUGUUAAUUAAAUGGUUACACUUAGGAAUGCUUCUCAGCUCCAUAGGUUAAACUUAUUCUGGAGUCAUUGACAAAAAGUGUGUGUUUCAUGACUGAACAUUAUUCAAUACCUGGAUUAAAUACAGCCUGUCUAUAAAAAUUUUCCAAAUUCCUAAUCUACAGAGGGAAAAUUGUGCCUGACCUAUUUUGGGUUUAUAUUCCACCUGGGAGUAUCCAUAGAUAAAUACACAGAUAGAUAUAUAGAUAGCAUUAAUUAUACUUCUUGCAAAACUGAAAUGAAUGUCUAUAUCUAUAGGAAACUACCUCUAGAUGUUCCACAAUGACAGGAAUGAAUCAUUCCUACUUCUAUCCCCUGUGCCUAAACAGAGCCUAGUACCAUAGGCAAGAGGAGAGCUUGGGAGAUGAGCCAUUUCAGGAGGGCUGGGGUGAAACCAAGCCCUGGUGCCACUCAGAGUGGAGAAGCUGGAGGUGAGAAGUGCACCGGGUCGGGAGCCACGAAGCUGACUAUACUACUGUGAAAAAAAUAGGCCAGGAAAAAACCUACCUCCCAGAAAGAAAGACCCUUCAAGGAAAACGUAUUCUCCCCAUAUGGUUCCAGAGGGAAAACGGACAUACAAUAAAGAGGACUAAUACAUUCAAUAUAUGUAUUAAUAUAUUGACUAAUAUAUGUGGUUAGGUAUUGACUAAUAGAUGUGUUAAUAUAUUGACUAAUAUAUGUAUUAAUAUAUGUAGUAAUAUUUUUAAUGUAAAAAUUAUAAAUUUAUAA